UACAUUUACGUCAUGACGUCCUUCCGCCUCCCUUUCCUCUUUAAUCGGCGAGAAUGAAGACCAUUCUCAGUAACCAGACAGUGGACAUCCCCAACAACGUCGAUGUGACCCUCAAGGGCCGCACAGUUGUUGUGAAGGGACCCCGUGGAGUUCUUCGCCGGGAGUUCAACCACAUUAACCUGGAGCUCAGUCUGUUGGGCAAGAAACAUAAGAAGGUUUGCAGUCUUGAUGUAUAUAAAUGAAUCUGCA